rnacentral:rRNA from 1 species
ACCUACGGGAGGCAGCAGUGAGGAAUAUUGGUCAAUGGGCGCGAGCCUGAACCAGCCAAGUAGCGUGAAGGAUGACUGCCCUACGGGUUGUAAACUUCUUUUAUAAAGGAAUAAAGUGAGGCACGUGUGCCUUUUUGUAUGUACUCUAUGAAUAAGGAUCGGCUAACUCCGUGCCAGCAGCCGCGGUAAUACGGAGGAUCCGAGCGUUAUCCGGAUUUAUUGGGUUUAAAGGGAGCGUAGAUGGGUUGUUAAGUCAGUUGUGAAAGUUUGCGGCUCAACCGAAAAAUUGCAAUUGAUACUGGCAG